CACAGAUGAUGAUUCCGAAUAUUUGCUAUCUUACCACCACUGAAGACAACCUUUCCACCAAGAUCGCUGAUGUG